rnacentral:rRNA from 1 species
AGUGAACGCUGGCGGCGUGCUUAACACAUGCAAGUCGAACGAGAACGGGUUAUAGCUUGCUAUAAUUGUCAGCUAAGUGGCGCACGGGUGAGUAAUGUAUAGGUAAUAUGCCUCUUACUAAGGGAUAACAAAUGGAAACGUUUGCUAAUACCUUAUACUCCUUAUUAACAGAAGUUAAUAAGGGAAAGAUUUAUUGGUAAGAGAUUAGCCUGUAUUGUAUCAGUUAGUUGGUGGGGUAAUGGCUUACCAAGACUAUGACACAUAACUGGUUUGAGAGGAUGAUCAGUCACACUGGAACUGAGACACGGUCCAGACUCCUACGGGAGGCAGCAGUGGGGAAUAUUGCACAAUGGACGAAAGUCUGAUGCAGCAACGCCGCGUGGAGGAUGACACAUUUCGGUGCGUAAACUCCUUUUAUAUGAGAAGAUAAUGACGGUAUUAUAUGAAUAAGCACCGGCUAACUCCGUGCCAGCAGCCGCGGUAAU